GCGAAUAAUUAUCGAAAAACAAAAAACAAUAAUCAAUAUUGCUUUAUUUCACAAUAUAAAAGGUAUGCCAAGAAACAGGAGGAAAACAAAAACCUGAAAAAGGAAAUCCAUUCUCUAAGGGAUAGUAUUCUUAAGAGUAAUCAGAAAAAUUUCAAACCAUGGACAGAUCGAUCUGGGAACAAUAUGCAAUAUCGGGGAGAAAGGAAAGAAUCGACGACACAGAAAACGUCUCUGGAUAAGAAUCUGUUAUGUCCUGAUUGUAACUUUCGCAAUAUUUUUGAGACAAAGUUUUGUGAAUGCUGUGGGAGUACACGUAAAAACUAGUAUGCGAAUGUGUAUAUUUAAGGGUACAGUUUAGAUUAAGAAAAUGAUUUAUGCAUGUCAUUCCCGUCAUACUAGUCGGAUUUAUGUCAAACUUCUGUUUUCCAGUCAAUCUGAUAUAUUUUCCAUUUUUGAUGUACAAUAA